rnacentral:rRNA from 1 species
GACGAAGGGGGCUAGCGUUGUUCGGAAUUACUGGGCGUAAAGCGCGUGUAGGCGGUUGUCCAAGUUGGAUGUGAAAGCCUUGAGCUCAACUCAAGAAAUGCAUUCAGGACUGGAUGACUAGAGGACCGGAGAGGAUAGUGGAAUUCCCAGUGUAGUGGUGAAAUACGUAGAGAUUGGGAAGAACACCAGUGGCGAAGGCGGCUAUCUGGACGGUUUCUGACGCUAAGACGCGGAAGCGUGGGGGAGCAAACAGG